UCUAAGUCAGAAUCCAUGCUGGAAAGCGAUGUCUUGGUGAUGAUAAAACGAAAAAAACAUAAGAAAUUAAGUUCGAAAGGUAGAGCGGAGAAGAGCGGAACAGCUUGAUCUUAACUGCUAAUCGUAAUUCCGAAUUAUCAUCAGCAUAAAUCUUUUGUAGACGACUUAAAACGGAACGGGUAUUGUACACGUGAGAGUAGAAUCUUCUACGAUCCGCUGAGAUUCAGCCCGUCUCCUCAGAUUUAUCUCAUCUCCCUUUC
rnacentral:rRNA from 1 species